rnacentral:lncRNA from 1 species
UGCUCUAAUGGGAUAUGGAUAUAUAUGUCCCUCUGACCUGAAACUGCCUUGAUGACUUGCAAGCAACUCACUGGCUUUGGUGUCAGACUAUCCAAUUUUCUAAUUCGAUGAUGGAAGAUUUUUGGGUACAGUCAAGUACUUGUGAAGUCUAAGUGCAAGUCAAGAUGAAAUUGACCGUUCCAAAUAAAAUUGGAGAUGAUGCAUCACUAUGUUUCAAUUCAGCAAAAUUUUGAUCAAAGUAAUCCUAAUGACGAGUCACAAAAUUUUUAAGGUUAAGACACAAUGUGGACCAC